rnacentral:rRNA from 1 species
AAAACUUUCAACAACGGAUCUCUUGGUUCUGGCAUCGAUGAAGAACGCAGCGAAAUGCGAUAAGUAAUGUGAAUUGCAGAAUUCAGUGAAUCAUCGAAUCUUUGAACGCACAUUGCGCCCCUCGGUAUUCCGGGGGGCAUGCCUGUUCGAGCGUCA